AUUGUUACUGACUACGACAUAUGCUCGCACGCAGCCGUAAAGUGAAAGUGUCUCGAAGGUCACGGCUCCUCGGCCUGCGCCCACUGGCCCGCUGGAUGCGUUCUGAGUAAGACGCGUACCUCUAAUUAUUGCUACGUGAGCCUACCUAUCUGCUGUCGUGCUAUCGUGCUACCUAAAACGUGUUGUACAUAAUAAUUAUUUACCUUGUGAAUCCCCCGUUAAUUAUCGGGGCCCAUCUACCCGGUACCGGACGUCUAUCAAGCCCCUUAUUUCUGCCUGGCCUGGCCUACUGCCACAUACAACGUCAAGACACCUACGCCUGGAGCUACGCGACGGAAUUGCAGGACAGUGAUAGUGACGGAACUGAGUUACACACAUUCGGUCGUUUAUUGUGAACCCACCUAUUAAACCUAAGAACCUA